CAUUAAGCUCUCUUUCUCAAAGAAGAAAAAGAAAACAAAUUAACUUAAAAAAAAAAAAGGUUCUUUCCCUAUCUUGAAAGUCUUUAUAUAGACCUAUAGGUUUAGCUCAUUUUCAUAUAUAACAACAUUGCAAACUUAGUGAAAGAAGUUGGCCACAUUGUCCAAAACUUAGAACUAAGAGAAAGGAGAUUGAUAGAGAGAAAUGCCUCCUCGUUGGGGACCUCCACCAGGGCCUCCCGGUCCAGGACCAUUUGGUUGCUGUGAUUUUCUCUGUGGUGGUAUAUGCAGGCUUGUAUCUUCCUGCUUCUAUUUGCUGUGCUGCUGUUGCCUCUUCGAGAAUUGCUGUGGACCAUUGUUUGGUGGGCCUCGUGGGCCAGGUGGGCCUGGUGGCCCACCUGGUCCUUUUGGGCCCCCUCGCUUCUGAUCAAGCUGAUUUCCAAAGCGUUUUGUAAUAUCAUGAAUGAACAAUAUUGCUGUGUUGUUAUUAAUAACAAAUGAGUUUAGAUUUGAUUUUACUAUUGCUAUGUUGCUAGCCUUUCAAUUCUCACCUUGUAUUGUUGCUGACUGUUUGGGAAUGUGAGAAUAACAAUGCCAAUAACAGUUAGGCUUUUGAGUUUAGUUUGAGUCUAAACUCAGUGGAUGCUGUUUGGCAAUUAUUACACAUUCAAACCAACCAUGUUGGUAUUGAAUGUGACCUAUAAUAUGAAACAGUGAUAAUAUACAGUUGGUAACAGAACCAAUCUCUCUGCUUUAUUCUAUUAUGCCAUUUUGUAAUCAGACUUUCAUAUAUAACAUGCAAUUUUUGGU